AAUGAACGCUGGCGGCGUGGAUUAGGCAUGCAAGUCCAGGGGGAAAUUCCCUUCGGGGGAUGAGUACACCGGCGAACUGGUUAGUAACAGGUGGGGAACGUGCCCCGAGGCCGGGGAUAACCGUCUGGAAACAGCGGCUAAGACCCGAUUCGGCCCGGCAGUCUUCGGAUAGCCGGCGCCAAAAGGCGCUCCUUCGGGAGUGCCGCCGCGGGAUCGCCCCGCCCCGAUUAGCUAGAUGGCGAGGUAACGGCUCACCAUGGCUGCGAUCGGUAGCUGGUCUGAGAGGAUGGUCAGCAACACUGGGACUGAGAUACGGCCCAGACUCCUACGGGAGGCAGCAGUCUAGAAGCUUCCGCAAUGGGCGAAAAGCCUGAGGAGCGACGCCGCGUGCGCGAAGAAAGGCCUUCGGUGUU
rnacentral:rRNA from 1 species